GUAACAAACACCACACAGUUUGCUGUUUAUGUGAGCAAUGGCCAUCGGAGGUUUACCACCAAAUCUUUAAUAUUAGAUAUGUGCUUAUGUCUCUGUGUGAGAUUUGGUAUUUAAAACUCGUUCAUGGGAUAAUCUUUUUGCUAUAUGCUGUUAGCAGCGCCAGCCAAUGAUCAUUUAUUUUUGACUAUUGUAAUUUACACAGUGAUAGGACGGACCUUUAAUGAGUAUUAAACACGCAGAAGGAGAUUCUGUUCCAGCUGAAACCUUACUUGGAACAUUUCUUUGUGAAAAGACACAUCAUGAGCAGAAAACCUCUGGCAUGAUGGUUCUAAAAAAAAAAAUCUAAUGGAAAUGAAUUACAUUUGCCAAUUAGGCUUUUUAUGCUCUAUUUUAAUGUGACUUUUGUCUGUUACACAUAUAGAAAGAAUAAAAUACAAAUCCUAAAAUCCACUGCUAUGCAAAGAUAGAACAGAAACACGAGGGAUUGGGGCCUGACAGUCGAGCGAGCAGGAUGCAUGCUGAAGUAACUCCUCGGCAUAUUCUGUGAAAUUGGCCCAUAACUCGUGAUAUUUUGAAAAUUACCUGCUGAAUUUGAAUUUGAACUCUGGACUGAUUUUUACAGCUCUGCUGAGAGUCCUGACAUUUAGUGCUGCCUGCUAUCCAUUCAACAUAUCGUUGGUUACCCGAGCCUGAU